GAACGCUGGCGGCAGGCCUAACACAUGCAAGUCGAACGGUAGCACAAGAGCUUGCUCUCGGGUGACGAGUGGCGGACGGGUGAGUAAUGUCUGGGAAACUGCCUGAUGGAGGGGGAUAACUACUGGAAACGGUAGCUAAUACCGCAUAACGUCGCAAGACCAAAGAGGGGGACCUUCGGGCCUCUUCCAUCAGAUGUGCCCAGAUGGGAUUAGCUAGUAGGUGGGGUAACGGCUCACCUAGGCGACGAUCCCUAGCUGGUCUGAGAGGAUGCCAGCCACACUGGAACUGAGACACGGUCCAGACUCCUACGGGAGGCAGCAGUGGGGAAUAUUGCACAAUGGGCGCAAGCCUGAUGCAGCCAUGCCGCGUGUAUGAAGAAGGCCUUCGGGUUGUAAAGUACUUUCAGCGGGGAGGAAGGUGUUGUGGUAAUAACCGCAGCAAUUGACGUUACCCGCAGAAGAAGCACCGGCUAACUCCGUGAGCAGCCGCGGUAAUACGGAGGGUGCAAGCGUUAAUCGGAAUUACUGGGCGUAAAGCGCACGCAGGCGGUCUGUCAAGUCGGAUGUGAAAUCCCCGGGCUCAACCUGGGAACUGCA
rnacentral:rRNA from 1 species